GACAGAGGGUGCAAACGUUGCUCGGAAUUACUGGGCGUAAAGCGCGUGUAGGCGGUUCCGCAAGUCAGGUGUGAAAAUCCAGGGCUCAACCCUGGACCUGCAUUCGAUACGGGCAGACUAGAGUUCGGCAGGGGAGACUGGAAUUCCUGGUGUAGCGGUGAAAUGCGCAGAUAUCAGGAGGAACACCGGUGGCGAAGGCGGGUCUCUGGGCCGUAACUGACGCUGAGGAGCGAAAGCGUGGGGAGCGAACAGG
rnacentral:rRNA from 1 species